UGUUUUGUGGCUUAGUUGGUUAAGGGGCCGAACUUUUGACACGAAGUCAUAGGUUCGAAUCCCGCCAAAACAA
rnacentral:tRNA from 1 species